AGCCUCGGGCGCGUGCUUUCUUUUGGGAAUCCAGUGGCGGCCGUGGGCGUUUGUCUCUGCGGACGCUGUGAGUCCACGUUAGGGGAGGAUCUGGGCCCCGAAUGGGGCUGAGGGGUCCUCCAGGGCCAUCUUCCGCCGGGGCUCCGCCUCUGUCUUCAGCGUUGUAAGCGUUCCUUGCUCCGCCCCCCCCCCCCCCACCCGUCCCUUUCUGUUGGGAAGGUGCGACUCCAGACCGACUUCUCUCCGCAGGGCGGUCGGUGACGUGGUUGGAGACCGUGGACGUAAAUGAACGUCAGCCCGGGGCCUGGUGGUAAGGCGGGAGUCCACGUCCGUAUCUGCGGCGCUUAACAAUAAAGCAGAGGUGAGGGAAGUGGACAUGAACCACCCAACCACCUAGGUUCCCCGUGCUCCCUGGACAGCAGCCCUAGUUGAGGGUACUACCCUCUUAGCGUUGUCUUCAACCCGUACUUUGCCGAGGGCACAAGAAGGGGAUUUCUUGUAACAGAAGAGACCGGCAGUCCAGAAAACACAACU